rnacentral:rRNA from 1 species
GACGAACCGAGCGAACGUUGUUCGGAAUCACUGGGCUUAAAGGGCGCGUAGGCGGACUCGCCAGUCUGUGGUGAAAGCCCCCGGCUUAACCGGGGAAGUGCCAUGGAUACUGCGAGUCUGGAGGAGGGUAGGGGCGUCUGGAACGCUGGGUGGAGCGGUGAAAUGCGUUGAUAUCCAGCGGAACUCCGGUGGCGAAGGCGAGGCGCUGGACCCUUUCUGACGCUGAGGCGCGAAAGCCAGGGGAGCAAACGGG